rnacentral:antisense_RNA from 1 species
AUGAUUCUAAACCCCUGGAAAGAGUUUUAGGCACAAGAUUAAGAGGCAGAUAGAACUGGAGGUCAUAUCUUAAAUGAAACAAGCCAAGCAAAGAAAGUCAAAUAUCACAUAUUCUCACUCCUAAGUAGGGACUAAAAAAUGUGUACACAUGGAUGUAGAGAAUGGAAUGAUUGACAGCAAUAUAGACAUACAGAUGACCCAACAUGGAAAAUAAUAUAUUGUAAAAGUCAUUCAGUUGUGGGGAGAUGUGCAGAGAGGAUUUUAUUUGGACUUGUUAUAAAUAAGCAAGAUUGUGUCGACAAUCUAGAGAGCCUCUGAAGUGUAACUACCCUUUCAGCAUUUCAGAAGACCAUACACUAUUCCCGUUGAUGAGACUAUACAGGAUGAACAAAACAGAAAAAAAAUUGUGUCCUCAUGGAGCAGACUGCAUAAAUUUUAUUCAGAAAAGAUAUGCUACAGAAGGUGACAGUGUUGGAGUGGAGUGACUGAAAUUAUACAUAUAGCCACAGGGAUAAAUUGAUUUUUGAAUAAAAUUCUGAAUGAGAAGUUAUAUGAAGCAGGCCUGGCACGGUGGCUCAUGCCUGUAAUCCCAGCACUUUGGGAGGCUGAGGAGGACGCAUCACCUGAAGUCAGGAAUUUGAGACCAGCCUGACCAACAUGGAGAAACCCCAUCUCAACUAAAAAUACAAAAUUAGCCUGGUGUGGUAGCGCAUCCCUGUAAUCCCAGCUACUCAGGAGGCUGAGCCAGGAGAAUCACUUGAACCCAGGACACGGCAGUUUUGCAUUAUUGUUUUGUACUACUAAGCUUUGACACUAACUAUGGGGAAGAUCUAAAAUUAAUAUACAACCAUACCUCAAACAUAUUGCAGGAUCAGUUCCAGACCACUGCCAUGAAGUCAAUAUUGCAACAAAGUGCCCAAAAAUCAUGGUCUAGUUUUCCCUGCUUUCACCCUCACAACUGGAGGGUUCAUGGAGCUCUCCAGGGGAUGACGAUUGUGCCAUGCAGAGCAGCAUUUCUUAGCAAGUGUGAGUUCAUGUGAGUAGAGCCAAACACGGGUCAAAUUUCCAUUAAAAAAACUAUGAGUUCCGCGAGGUGCAGUGGCUCAU